GACGAACGCUGGCGGCGUGCUUAACACAUGCAAGUCGAACGGAAAGGCCCUGCUUUCAGGGUACUCGAGUGGCGAACGGGUGAGUAACACAUGGGUGAUCUGCCCUGCACUUCGGGAUAAGCCUGGGAAAGUGGGUCUAAUACCGGCUAGGAGCCAUUUUUAGUGUGAUGGUUGGAACGUUUUUUCGGUGUAGGAUGAGCUCGCGGCCUAUCAGCUUGUUGGUGGGGUAAUGGCCUACCAAGGCGGCGGCGGGUAGCCGGCCUGAGUGGGUGGACGGCCACACUGGGACUUAGAGGAGGCCCCGGCAGCGACGGGUGGGAGAAGGGGGGAAUCUUGACCAAGGGGCGCCAGCCUGAUGCAGCGACGCCGCGGGGGGGAAGACGGUCUUCGGGGUGUAAACCCCAUUUGCUAGGGACGAAGCUUUUUGUGACGGUACCUAGACAAGAAGCACCGGCUAACUACGUG
rnacentral:rRNA from 1 species